rnacentral:rRNA from 1 species
GUCCACGCCCUAAACGUUGAUUACUCGUUGUUGGCGAUACACAGUCAGCGACUAAGCGAAAGCGUUAAGUAAUCCACCUGGGGAGUACGACCGCAAGGUUGAAACUCAAAGGAAUUGACGGGGGCCCCGCACAAGCGGAGGAGCAUGUGGUUUAAUUCGAUGAUACGCGAGGAACCUUACCUGGGCUUGAAUGUUAGUGACCGGCUGGGAAACCAGUCAUCUCUUCGGAGCACAAAACAAGGUGCUGCAUGGCUGUCGU